CAAAGAGAAGUAGUUUCAAUAUACGAUGAUGACUUUGCCACCCAGCCAUCAAGACCUCAAUAUUUCAUCGAAGUUUUUUGCUGUGUUAAACUUGAAUUUGGCGAAUGUGACAGUGGACUGUCUGCGUACCCUGUGCCAGAAAAAAUUGAAAAAAUUGAGAUAGUGGUUCCCUAUAUAACAAACGGCAAAGAUCCUAACGAUAAAAAGAAGUUUUAUAAAUAUGUGGUUUAUAAUCACACGUCUUGCACAUGUGGAACCUUGAAGGUCAGGGAUAGUAGACUGUAUCAAACCAUAACUAAUUACGAAG